rnacentral:lncRNA from 1 species
UCUCCCAAUCCCCGCUCUCCUCCAUCGUCCUCCUCACCCUCCCUUGCCGACGGUCGAGCCCCCUUGCCGCACCUCCACCCACGUAGGCUGCGCCGCCCCCUCCACAACUUAACCAACAACGAAGUAGAUGGGGAGGAGGAAGCUCAAGCUCGAGACAGCGGAGCAGUUGAGGUCUUCCUUGCUGCCGUGGAGUGGUGAACCCUUCCUUCCUUCCCCCUCUCUCCAUAAGCUGCUCCACCACCUUCCUUUUUGAUAGCACCGAUGGCCUCUCCUGACCCAAGCGGGUUGCUGCCGACAGUGGGCCUCACCACCACCCACUCUCUCUCUCUCUUCAUAAGGGCCCAUCAGAUCGAUGCCCCCAUAUUUUCGUCGUCACAUUCCUCUGUAUCUCACCACCAUCCACUCCCUCUUUUUACAAGGGCCCAUCAGAUCGAUGCCCUCAUCUUUUCAUCGUUAUGUUUUUUGUCACCCAUGCCUUCGAUCAUCUCUUCUGCAUCUGGAAUUU